UACGUAGGGUGCAAGCGUUGUCCGGAAUUAUUGGGCGUAAAGAGCUCGUAGGCGGUCUGUUGCGUCGGCUGUGAAAACCCGGGGCUUAACCCCUGGCUUGCAGUGGAUACGGACAGACUAGAGGUAGGUAGGGGAGAAUGGAAUUCCCGGUGUAGCGGUGAAAUGCGCAGAUAUCGGGAGGAACACCGGUGGCGAAGGCGGUUCUCUGGGCCUUACCUGACGCUGAUGCGCGAAAGCGUGGGGAGCGAACAGG
rnacentral:rRNA from 1 species